AGAACGAACGCUGGCGGCAUGCCUAAUACAUGCAAGUCGAACGAACUCUUCGGAGUUAGUGGCGCACGGGUGCGUAACGCGUGGGAAUCUGCCCCCUUGGUUCGGAAUAACAGUUGGAAACGACUGCUAAUACCGGAUGAUGACGAAAGUCCAAAGAUUUAUCGCCAAGGGAUGAGCCCGCGUAGGAUUAGCUAGUUGGUGAGGUAAAGGCUCGACCAAGGCAACGAUCCUUAGCUGGUCUGAGAGGAUGAUCAGCCACACUGGGACUGAGACACGGCCCAGACUCCUACGGGAGCAGCAGUAGGGAUAUUGGACAAUGGGCGAAAGCCUGAUCCAGCAAUGCCGCGUGAGUGAUGAAGGCCUUAGGUUGUAAAGCUUCUUUACCCGAGUA
rnacentral:rRNA from 1 species